GACGAAGGGGGCUAGCGUUGUUCGGAAUUACUGGGCGUAAAGCGAGUGUAGGUGGUUGUCGUAGUCAGGUGUGAAAGCCUUGAGCUCAACUCAAGAAAUGCACUUGAUACUGGGCAGCUAGAGGACCGGAGAGGAUAGUGGAAUUCCCAGUGUAGUGGUGAAAUACGUAGAGAUUGGGAAGAACACCAGUGGCGAAGGCGGCUAUCUGGACGGUUUCUGACACUAAGACUCGAAGGCGUGGGGAGCAAACAGG
rnacentral:rRNA from 1 species